rnacentral:rRNA from 1 species
GAUGAACGCUGGCGGCGUGCCUAAUACAUGCAAGUCGAGCGAAUGGAUUAAGAGCUUGCUCUUAUGAAGUUAGCGGCGGACGGGUGAGUAACACGUGGGUAACCUGCCCAUAAGACUGGGAUAACUCCGGGAAACCGGGGCUAAUACCGGAUAACAUUUUGAACCGCAUGGUUCGAAAUUGAAAGGCGGCUUCGGCUGUCACUUAUGGAUGGCCCCGCGUCGCAUUAGCUAGUUGGGGAGGUAACGGCUAACCAAGGCAACGAUGCGUAGCCGACCUGGGAGGGUGAUCGGCCACACUGGGACUGAGACACGGCCCAGACUCCUACGGGAGGCAGCAGUAGGGAAUCUUCCGCAAUGGACGAAAGUCUGACGGAGCAACGCCGCGUGAGUGAUGAAGGCUUUCGGGUCGUAAAACUCUGUUGUUAGGGAAGAACAAGUGCUAGUUGAAUAAGCUGGCACCUUGACGGUACCUAACCAGAAAGCCACGGCUAACUCCGUGCCAGCCGCCGCAGUAA